UGCAGCCAUGCCGCGUGUGUGAAGAAGGCCUUCGGGUUGUAAAGCACUUUCAGUCGUGAGGAAGGUGGUAGUGUUAAUAGCACUAUCAUUUGACGUUAGCGACAGAAGAAGCACCGGCUAACUCCGUGCCAGCAGCCGCGGUAAUACGGAGGGUGCGAGCGUUAAUCGGAAUUACUGGGCGUAAAGCGCAUGCAGGUGGUUUGUUAAGUCAGAUGUGAAAGCCCGGGGCUCAACCUCGGAAUAGCAUUUGAAACUGGCAGACUAGAGUACUGUAGAGGGGGGUAGAAUUUCAGGUGUAGCGGUGAAAUGCGUAGAGAUCUGAAGGAAUACCGGUGGCGAAGGCGGCCCCCUGGACAGAUACUGACACUCAGAUGCGAAAGCGUGGGGAGCAAACAGGAUUAGAUACCCUGGUAGUCCACGCCGUAAACGAUGUCUACUUGGAGGUUGUGGCCUUGAGCCGUGGCUUUCGGAGCUAACGCGUUAAGUA
rnacentral:rRNA from 1 species